rnacentral:rRNA from 1 species
GGCGAACGCUGGCGGCGUGCUUAACACAUGCAAGUCGAACGAAGAGCGAUGGAAGCUUGCUUCUAUCAAUCUUAGUGGCGAACGGGUGAGUAACGCGUAAUCAACCUGCCCUUCAGAGGGGGACAACAGUUGGAAACGACUGCUAAUACCGCAUACGAUCUAAUCUCGGCAUCGAGGAUAGAUGAAAGGUGGCCUCUACAUGUAAGCUAUCACUGAAGGAGGGGAUUGCGUCUGAUUAGCUAGUUGGAGGGGUAACGGCCCACCAAGGCGAUGAUCAGUAGCCGGUCUGAGAGGAUGAACGGCCACAUUGGGACUGAGACACGGCCCAGACUCCUACGGGAGGCAGCAGUGGGGAAUCUUCCGCAAUGGACGAAAGUCUGACGGAGCAACGCCGCGUGAGUGAUGACGGCCUUCGGGUUGUAAAGCUCUGUUAAUCGGGACGAAAGGCCUUCUUGCGAACAGUUAGAAGGAUUGACGGUACCGGAAUAGAAAGCCACGGCUAACUACGUG